rnacentral:lncRNA from 1 species
AAAAAAAAAAAAAAAACUUCUUGUAUCUAUACGAAUCACUAUUACACUAAUCAUUGCUAUAUCCUAAAGUCUCAUGUAUAUCAACAAAAACUCAUCUUUGUAGGACUCGUAAAGCAGUGCAAUAAUAAACCAGGAAGAAGAGAUACCUGAAAGAUAGGACUGGUCAGUGGGUGGCAGCAAAUCGGACAAUCCAAAAGAUCAAGCUCGAGUAGUGUCCCAGUAUGUAUCAUGUCAUCAUCAGUAUUAUCCAUGAAGAUUAGUCUUUGCCUCUUUCGGCGGCUGCUCAAUGCUUCUCCAGCGUUAUCCAUUUCUAUCAGAGUAUGUAUAUGAGAUGUGGUGGUGGAGGCUCUUACAUGUUCAGAGGCUUUAUAUAUACAUCGAGAAGAAAGGGUGCAGUGACAUAAACCCUUCUUUCCUUACAUGCAGUUAUUUUUUUCUAAGUUUAAUUUAGAUUCUGUGGUUGACUAAAUUUCUAAGUUCACUCUAUCUUAUCUGAACAGUAUAAUGUAAAAUUAAUUUAGAUUAGUUUCUCUUUUUGGGGAAUUUCAAAAUACAAUUUUUCCAAUACAAUUUUUCAAAAGAUGCCUUAAAUUUUUUAAUUAAAAAUGCCACUAAAACUCUAAUAUUUAUCUAAAUAUGUGUGUAACUAUAAACUUAUCAAAACAUACACCAACUAAAUUAAAAAAAUCUUAUAAUAGUUGGACCUAGUUUCCGAGUAUUAGUUACUAUCUAGAAAUAUUUUAUAAACCUUAUUAAACUCUAUAAAUUUUCAGAUUUAAUAUAAGAUAUUUUUUAAGAUUGAAUAUAUGAGUAUCUUUGAAAAUGGAUACAACAAAAAGGUAUAUUUAUCAAAACAAAUUCAUUUUUAGUGUAAAAUUAAUUUUGUAUUUCAUAUUUUUUCCAUACCAGUUAAAUUCAAGAAAAUAUAUAAUUUAAGGUAGAUCUUAUUUUAAUUAUUUGGAAUCGAACGAGUUGAAGCAUUUCAUAGAAAUUUCAUAAACAAUUUCCCGAAUUCUUCUUUACACACCAAACACUAUAAAAUCUAAGCUAGGUCUGUUCUUUUUACAUGCAAUGUUUUCUUUUUAAGUUUAGAGAUUUUUGUGGAGGAAAAAAAUUGUAAUGCUAUCACUAGAUCUUAUCUUGAGCUCAUCAUUUACACAAUUUUGUUUAUAUUAGUGACUUUAAAGGCUUCGUAGGCCCAACAACUAAUCUUAAGGUCGGGGAAACCAUGUUAAUUGCUAAAACUCCGGUGACCAAUGCUGAACGAACCCAUGUAGCGAGAAUAUUUACAUUUUUGUUUCAUACACUAGAUUUUAACACACGGUACACUGCGGGAUAAAUAUUUUCUUUUUAAUUCAUGUUUUAAAAAUUUAUGAUUUUGUUGGAGUUUAUUUAAUAAUUAUUAAGAGUACAAAACAUCAAUCUUUAUUAGAUCAGUUUAGUUAUACAUGAUCUAAUAAAGUAAUUUUCUUAAUUAACCUAACAUGACCAAUCAAAAGUUGUCAACGGAUCAUAGUUAUAUCAUAAUUAAGCUCCAACCAAAAUAAUUUCAUAAACAAACUUUUUAAGUCGUGAAUUGUAGUAACGGUUCAUUUUUCAUAAAUACAAUUGCACACAUAAUCGUGACGUGUACAAAGCUUGAAUUUUGUUUUUGAUUUUUUUUUUUGAUUUUUUUUUAAAUAACGAAAUGGGCGGUUAUUUCUUCCUUUUGAAAUUUGAAACUUUCCUAUAAAAAAGAAAUCAAAAUCGACCCGUUCAAAGAAGAAAACCAUUUUACAAGUCUCUCCCUCUCUCUCUGUGUUUUGAAACCCUAAAUUGAAUUCUCCAUUUCGAAAAAUGUCUGUAGAAGAGAAGUACCGAUGCUCUUAAUUCCCGGCGAUUAGGAUUUUGUAAAGAGCGUUCUCUCAGUUCUCGUCGAUUUCUAAGGUCAGUUACAUAAGAUCGAUCAAACAUUUGGAAUCCCAGAUUCAAUUCGAGUCAAAUUUGAUGAUUCUGAUCCUUUAUUCCCGAUUUGUGUUUCUCUGUUUCUUGAUUCGAUUACUGUUAUUUCUUUUCUAACCCCGGAAGCGGCGAAAUCGAUUUUGUCAUUUUCAUCGUGUUUUUUUCUCUUCUUUUUCAAUUCUGUAUUCGAUAGCCUUUGUGAUUUCGUUUUGAUUUCGUUUUGACAGAUCGUUAACGAUCGCGAGACUGGAAAGAUGCUAAAUCCGAUGAGGGAUGUGAUCGAAGAGAUUUAAUUCGCCAGAGCAUCACCGUCAAUGAGGAAGCGGCGGUUACGGAGGUUUGCUGGAAUUUUUUAAUCGGAUUGAUUGGUUUUUUUUUUUCCUCCACCGUUUCGAAUGAAUCGAUCUGUUACCAAAAGUUCUUGUACCGAUCGUAAAUAUAAUAAAUCCGAAUUUGAAUGUUAACGAUCGGGUGAUUUCUAGGAUUUGUUUGUGUUUUCUAAAACUAUGCAGGAAGCGUAGAGUUGAAUGGAGUUUGGAUCUUCUAGAACUAUGCAAUAUGCAUUUCUCAAUGAAGAACUUAAGACUGGUGAGUUUUUUCCUACGAAUAAAACCAAAGAAUUAGUGGUGAUUAUAUAAUAUCAGUGGUACACGAAUAUGGAGUUUUCAUCUUCCAAGUUGUGUAGACAUUAAUAAUUAGCCUUUGCAUAUUAGCUUGACAACUUCUGUAAUGGAUCAAUCUUUUGAACCAUAAACUGUUUUUUUCUUUCUCUUUCAGCCAAGUGGACUUCUAUGAAAUGCAAUGGAGAGUUUUACUAUCCCUCGUAAGUUUUCAGGUUAGUCGAUUUCAUUCAAACUUUCAGAUUUUGUUAUACUGUAGUUGUAUCGAACUUGCUUAUAUUUAUCCAAAUGAUGAUGAAUAGUUUACUAGGCACUUUUGGACUUUCCAAAACUUAGUGAUGGCACUGAAGCAAUCAAGUCAUGUUCUCUGACACUCUCAAAGCUUCAUUUCUUGUUUAUGAGUUAAGGUAUGUUUUCGACACAUGACCAUGAUUGAUAGCAUGUACAUAUAUAUAUAUGAUCGGUCCACAUUAGUUUUGUUUUGUUUCAUAAGUGCAGGACAAGUCGUAAACCUCAAAACCAGAGAACUUUGUAUGCAUUGAUGCAUACACACAUCCAUAAAUGCAUACAUAGAUACAUGUAUUCAUUCAUGCAUACAUACAUACAUACAUACAUACAUACAAACAUUUGUACAUACAUACAUGUAUUCAUUCAUGCAUACAUACAUACAUUCAUUCAUACAUACAUACAUACAUACAUGCAUACAUAUAUGCAUACAUACACUGCACACAUUCAUUACUUCCCUGUUUUUUCAUUCUUUGUCUAUUAUUCUGAAUGCUCGCUGCCUUGUGUGCUCGCUACCUUCCUUGAUUAUUUGUUUAGUAUUUUCUUGCUUCCUUGUUUGUUUGCUUCCUUGUUAACAUGCUUGACUUGCUUCCUUGCUUGCGUGCUUAAUUUCUUACAUAACAUGUUUCUUCCCUGUUUUUUCCAUUCUUUGUCUGUUACUCUGAUUUUAUGCGUACUUAUUCUCUUUUUCUUGUUUCCUUGCUUACUUGGCCCUUGCUUGCUUCCUUCCGUCUUUCAUAUCCUUAGUCAUAGUUUCAUUGGUUUUUUUUUUCUCACUUCCUUGUGUGCUCGCUGCCUUCCAUGAUUAUUUGUUUAGUAUUUUCUUGCUUCCUUGUUUGUUUGUUCCCUUGUUAACAUGCUUGACUUGAUUCCUUGCUUGCGUGCUUAAUUUUCCUUGCUUGCGUGCUUAAUUUCUUACAUAACAUGUUUCUUCCUUAGCUACUCCUAUCUUUUUCCUUAACUUGCUUGCUUAUUUGCAUUCAGAAACUGUCUCAAUUUAUCUUCUAAUCAAAUAUGUAUGUUGUGUUAGAUAGUGCUAUGUUACCGUUCCAAUCAUCACAGGGAGACUCGUGAGCGUCUGUCAAGGAAAAGUCCUCAUCGUCAUUAAUGUCAGUACCACAUAGACCGUUCCUUGAUACCAGCCUCAGUGAAUAAAACUAAGAAAGAAUAAAGUUCUAUGAUCACUCUUCUCUCUUUAUUUUCCUUUUUCAUUAGCUUACUCUAGAGAUUUUACAUGUAUAUGUACCAAGAGUUAUACAAGGUGAUCUUGUUUGUAUCCAAAAUAUUUAUUGGUUCGUUUAAAUUGUUCAGGGUUUUGGUACUAGGCGUUGACUUGCAACCAGAUCUAAAGUCUAGACCAUAAGCCAGCCACGAAAUCCCCCUUGUAAGUUGUCAUUUAUUUGAUCUCACAAUUUUUUGAUGGUGUUUGUUAAUCUAUGUAUACAUUUUCACUUAUUGUACACUAUUUCAAUUGUAUACCGUUUUGGAACUUGCAGAUUAAAGCACUUCACUCCGUUGCAAAGCAAGAAACAGACUUGUGGUAAUUCGAUAAAACAUAUUGGGGUCUGGUGUUGUACUUACAUAGUAAGUUUUUGUUCUGUUCUCAAAUCACAUGCAUUUAUUGUCAUGUAUUUCUCAGAAAUCAUUAUGCUUAUUUCAGGUCUUUUGCAAUGGACUUUAGAGACAUAACUAUCUUACGUUUCAUAAGUUGAUUUCUUCUUCCAAGUGUAAUGCUCUAAUUUCAGCUUAAUCAUUUGAUUUUGCUUAGUUUGAAGUAAAUUUCUCUUUUCUUCUUUUGCAGUAGAAGAUUAUAUGCUCUAUGUGGUCAUGUGAAUCCUCAUAAACGAAAAACAUUCUAUAUGAUGGAUCAGUAUGAGAAACUACUAACUAAAUUCCAUUGGCUUAUUUUUAGGAAAAUAGUCCUCCUUGAUGUUGAUGGUUCUUUUUCCAUACAAGAUUAUUUAGACAUUGUUUCGUCGUUUCUGGAGAGUGAAAUAUUACAUCGGGACUUACUUCAAUAUGGUAUGUUAAUUCUAAUCCUAACAAGUCAUUGUAACAUGUUGAUGGUUCUUUUUCCAAACAAAAAGACAUUGUUUCCUUGUUUUUACCCGAAGUUAUACUUGCUUUCUUCAAAUUAUUAUUGUGAAAAUACGCAGAUGAAAAAAUGAUGGAGAGUGAGAAAUUACAUGAUUGACUUCAAUAUGGUAUGUUUAAUCUAAUUUUAACAAGUCUUUGUAUCACUUUUGUGUUCAGGAUCUUUGUUUUUCUCUUUUUGCACCAAGAUUGAUGGUUAACCUCCGUUAUAUCUGUCAUAGAUGGUGGUUUCUUAGCUGGAAAAGUUCUCAGAUGAUUAGUGUUGCUGUUAAGGGCGUAGCUUGUUUGACAUGUGAGUUUCUCUAUUCAUAGCAGAGUGCUUUACAAUUUCCUUCCUCAACAUUUCUUCUACAACUGUUAGUUGCUGCAAGUUAGCCAUUUGUCUCCUCUUUUUAUCAAGGAGAUUUGGUGAGCCCGUUUCCCUUAAACUUACAAGUUACAACCAAUCUAUUUUUAAAAACAGGCAUAUCAAGGUUUGUUAUAAGUGAUGCUGGCUAAAUCACUUGUUGUAAGACUACACGGAAACUUAAAGAGUAUGGUCAAAGGUUUAUUGUAGCGGCCAGAAGGAACGGAAAACAUGUUCAAAUCCAUGGUAUGCUUCUAAUUUGUGUUUCUAUAAACACAAUAUGCCCUUGAUCACAUUUUUGGUGUCUAAAUUUUAAAUUUCACAUUUCCAAAACUUCGCCUUUCUCUCACAACAUGCUUGAUAUAUAUAAGCAAUGUGUCUACAUGUGUGAGAGACAUUUGAGGUUAUGUAGUAGCGAGAUUUCAACAUUUGAAUUUGUGUUUUGCUUAUGCGGGUUCUUGUCCUCUUUUUUAAAAAGUCAUGUUGGUAUAAUACAGGUAAGACUUCUGUGGGAGAUGCUCAUCAACCAUGUGGCCCGGAGGUUGUCAAGUCUGUACUCUGUGAUGCAUGAGAAAUAUGAAACUCUUGAUAAAACAUCCAAGAGAUUUGCUAACAAUUUUAAAAGUGGUCUAGAUUUCAGUAUCGGUAUUGUCAUACAUCUUCUCUUAAUUCUCAGAUUAAGGAACGUAAAAAGAAAAAAUAUGAAGCUGGCUAUGGCAGCAUUCAAGAGUACAAAUUCAACUCAACUGACAUAUGUUCUCAUAAAAGUUUAUGAAUGCUUAUGUACUGAUUGUUCUUGGUUUCUGUAUUCCAGGUUUAGCCCGUGGAAUGAUACAAAAAUAUCUUAUGAUAUUUUGGUUGAAUAUGAAGACAAUGAUAGAUGAUAUAUGGAUGUGGAGUUGCAUGGCCAUAGCGAGGCGUUCUGUGAGUUAAAAUCUAAGGUAUCCGCUUUGAGGUUGGUUAUUAUUUUAUACAUGUUUUGGCAAUAUGUGUUUAGAUCUAGCUAUCCAAUUUGUUCACAUAAUAGAUCUAAUGAUAAUAUGAACUAGAGUCAUAUUGAAGUGAAUUUAUCACAUGAUGAGCAGCUUGACGUAAUCGUGAUAAACAGAGUUUUAUGUGGAAAGACGUCUAAUCAUCCGUGAAUGAAAGAAACCUAUAAGGAAGUCAAGAACCAUAUCAGUAAGCUGCCCAUGAACUGCCCUAAAUCUUUGCAUACUUGUAAGUCAUCAUCUUCUUUAUCUUAAGAAACCUCUAGAAUUAAUCGUUUCUUCAAUUAUCGUAAUGUUGAUAUUGAUUGGUCCUCUUGUUAGACUAAUCCUCUUCCAUUUGUAAGUUAUGAAAACAAAACAUAUGUAGUUUCAAAAAGAAGUGAAGAACCAGAUAAGGAAACCGAUCAGUAUGCUGGCUAGGAAACAAAUCAGACGGUCGAUUUCUGAACUCAAAUUCUAAUUUCAUAAGUUCAAUCAUUUUCUCAAGUUUGUAUAUAAUCGAUUUUUCUGUUUAGUAUUUCAACAUUUUCUUAAAGCUUGACGCUAUUGUCUCUUUUGUUUAUAUGAAGUAGCAGACAUUAGCCAAUGGACUCUGUGAACAUAUUUUUGAAACAAGUGAAAACUCUUUAGUGAGUGACCAGGUAUGGACCAACUACUUAUAUCAAUAUUGUUCCUUGGUUUCCUCUGAUAGUGUUAUCUCGAUUGAUAUCUUGAAUCUCCCAUUCAUACAUUCAUGCAUACAUUCAUGCAUACAUGCAUACAAUCUCCCAUUCAUACAUUCAUGCAUACAUUCAUGCAUACAUGCAUGUGUUCAUUCAUGCAUACAAUCAUACAUUCAUGCAUACAUUCAUACAUUCAUACAUACAUUCAUACAUUCAUGCAUACAUACAUUCAUGCAUGUGUGCAGACAGACAUCAUAUGUUCAUGCAUAUUAGCUUAAGUUCAUUGGUCAUUUGCUUGCUACUUUACUUGCUUAUUUAUUUGCUUCAUUUGCUUGCUUUCCUCCCUUUCUAGUUUGUUUCUUUGAUCUUGGCUUUACACAUUGCAUAACUUGUUUUUUUUCUUUCUUCUUUGCUUAUUUGAUUCUUUGUUUCAAUACUUCAUUACUUUUUCACACCAUUUAUAUAUCUGAACCUGUUUCCUUGGUUGAUGCUUUAUGUGUUUCUUUGAUAUUUGUUUACUCAAUUUAUUCAUUCAUUGAUUAACUUCUUUGGUUUCCUUACUUCCGUCAAUGUUUGCUUACAUGCUUAACUUAUUUACAUGUUUUAUAGCUUCUAUCAUUGUUUGUUUACAACCUUAAUGUGUCCUCUCGCAACCUUCUUUGCUUUCCUUGCUUACGUAUUUCAUUCAUUGCUUCUUUACUAAUGUUUCGUUGCUUAAGUAUUUAAACUUUAAAGAAUACUUUAAUCUAAUUAAUUAAAUAAAAGGACACUCGAAUUUGUGUGAUAUGCCAAAUAAUAUGAUAUAUCGAUUUUGUUUUUGAUAUACAAAUGUUGAUUUAUUAAUUUAAUUAAAUUACAGUAAUUAGUAUUUGAUAUUUUAUAUUAAUUAAUAGAUAUGCUAAAUCUUUAACUCGUUAUAAUAUAAAUAAAACUAAGUUGUAUAUUUAUAAGAAUUUUGUAAUGGCAAUGUAUUGUAGUUAAGUAAAUUUUUGUUAGGUUGUGUACCUUUCUACUAUAUUAAUUGAGAAGUUCAUUAAUGAAAAUAACUUUAUAAAUAUAAGAAAUUACAUUCAAAUGCCAUAAGAAAAAGUUUUAAAAUGAAAAAAAAAAAUCGUAAAAUAAUCAUCCUACUAUAUUAAUUGUAAAGUACACAAAUAAAAAUAACCCUAUAAAUUAGAAGAAAUUACAUUGAAAUGCCAUUAGAAAAAGUUUUAAAAUGAAAACAAAACACUAAGGGUAAUAAAGAUAAUUAAACAAAUAGUCAAAUAAAUUAAAUAAAUAAAAUUGCAAGAUAAUCUAUAAACUAUAAUAAAAUCGUAAAAUAAUCACACAAAUAUAAUCAUUUACAUUAACAUAUACGAGAUACAUAUUUAUUCAGUUAAAUUAUAUCAAAUUCAGUUAAAUAAUAACAAAUUAAGUUACUAACAAUAACUGAAUUACAUUACGGUUCGGCUCGCUUCGGGUAUCAUGUUUUUCGGUUAUUUUUUUGGGUUAGCAAAAUUAACUAAGUAUUUUAGAGUUUUUGUUAGUUUAGUUAAAUCGGGUCGAUUGAUUAAUUCUGGUAGUUUUGGUUUAACUGUAAUUUCGGAUAAAGUAAUAUGGGUAAUUUCGGGUAAUGCGGGUAAUUCAGUUAAAUUUUGGUAACCAAUUGGUAUGACAAACCAAACCGAAUAAACCAGUAACCAAUAAUAGGAAAUUAUAAUCUAUUCCGGCCGGUUAUCUUUUCUUAAUUUCGGUUUUCAGUUCAGUUUGGAAUUUUUGGUUAGGGUACUAUUCCCAUGGCUAGAUUUAGUAAUAUAUGUAUUGCCAUCUAACAACGAAACAUUUCCUUACAUUAUUAUUAUUAUUAUCAUCUUAAGCAAAAUAUCGGCUGGAGUAUUUUUUUUAAAAGGCGUCGUAGUGUAAUCGAACAUAAGUGCUGCUUAGGGUCGGCCCGGGGCUAAAGCCCAUGAAACGUACGCUUUAGGCAUCAAAAAUAUAUAGAUGUUCUAGUUUAGUGGUCAAGUGCUUAGUUUCAAGGUCCAAAAUUGUUGGUUCGAACCCUUGAAAACGUAGAUUGGGUUAUUUUUACAGAUUAAUUAUGCCUCUAAAUGGACUUUAAAUUUUUAAUUUGCUUGAGGCAGCAAAUAUGUUCGGCCGGGCCAGCUAGAUAGAUUUGCUUUAGGCAGCACUGCUGGUAGAUAGAUUUGUAAUAUAUAUGCCUACAACACAAAGGCGAUAGACAUAUAUGUAAAGUAGUAGAUUAGACGUCGGUCCGAAAGUUCUCGAGGCAAUGUUUUUGGUCCAAAUUCCUACUCCAAAACUUCUUGUAAUACUCUGCGUAAGUGAAGUCUCUGUAGAUUGUCUUCGUUUCGCUGUCCUCGGCUUCCCACAAGGGUUUGGCCGGGCUCAUGACAGCACAGUCAGCUAGGCAUAGAAACGACGCGACGGACAGUCUUGGGUUUUCCGUGUUUGUCACAGCUCGAUGCCAAACACUUUUGUAUACUUCGUUACUCAAUGCCUGAAAACACAUAUUUUUAAUUUUAAGAUUUUUAAUUCCUGAUAAACAUUAGAUCUAGAUGGAUUCACUUGACAAACAUUAUCUAUUUUUAAAAAGCAUCGUGUCAAUUCACUUAUUCAUUUGAUAAAAUAAAAUUCACGUUAUAAGAUUUUAAAAAGUUUUUAUUAUUUUAAAAGGAUUUUAGGUAUAUAUGAUAAUUAUAAGAGAAAUACCGUCAAAUAAUUGAAAUAACUAAAAUAAAUAAUCGAAAAGUUUUAAACACUCUUCCCAUUUUUAUGAGGUCGGAACUGUAAGAUUGAUACGGCAGAAACCAUCCAUUCUAAAGUUUUAAAAUUAUGGGCACAAUAGAAACACUAGCCUAAUUAUUAGAGAACAAAGAGAAGUAUAACUAGAAUCGAUGGUAAGAGAAAGAAACAAACAUUAAGUUAAACAAAAAGGCCAUAAAAGAUUUUUAGGCCGGGGAGUUUAGAGAUAGAGCCCAUGGGUGAAAGAAGCAGCAACAACAACAACAAAAAAUCAUCAGAAAUACAUUACUAGCUAGGCCACUGAAUAUGAACUCAACAACCUACUACAACAGAUAUGAUAUGAUAGUAAUAUGAACUCAACAACCUAGUACAACAGAUAUGAUAUGAUAGUAAUAUGAACUCAACAACCUACUACAACAGAUAUGAUAUGAUAGUAAUAUUACUCCUCUGCGUCUUCAUUUUCAUUAUCAUCAUCUUUUUCCUCCUCAGGUUCUUUUUUGUCGAUUUCUUCCUCCUCGUAUCCUAUUUCGCGAAUGCGAAUUUCCAUCUUCACUACCAAGCGUUCAUCCAGGACACUAUAAGGAAUAAACAUGUAGUUCAGCACAGGAGCUUCAAAACUCAAUCUUAGAAUCCUAGUCAUCUCGUCGCAUUCAUAAUAAGUUGUUCAUAACCCCUCCGUUAGAUGAGAUCAUAGCCAAAUUUCAAAUCUCUAGGAGUAGAAGGAGCUGCGAGUAAGUUGACGGUCACAUAUAACCCAUCUCCCCCCUUAUAGGACUGAAGAAUAACCAAUGGACCAUGAUGAUAUUCCUGAAGGAUUAACAUCGUCACGUUGAUGUUUACAUGUAUGUCAACGUCAACGUAUUGGCCAUUCGUGAACCUUGAUGAGUAAUUAUCCUUGUGCCAAACAGUGAAAUGAUAGUAGAACCGCAAUCAUCUCGAUGCACUAACUCUUUUCCAUAGGAGAACUUCUCUGGGCAUCCAUGCUUGGCGUUUGGGCAUGGGAGAAUGACUGCUUCCACAAGUUUCUCCAGUAUUCGACAUCCAUAGAUACCAAUUGACAAAGUGCAAGAAGUGCAUUUAUUCCUCAUCAGCGUAAUACAACAAGAAGAGCAAGCUAUAUGUCCAUUUUCACACUGAAAAGUAAAACUUAGUUAUUUAAUAUUAUCAAAGUUGUAGAGAAAAGAAACUAAGCCAAUGUAGACAAGAUUAAAUUUUAACAAAAUCAUCCUUCUCAGACUAGUAAGUAGUGAAAUUAUUAAUUUUUACAACCAAACCAAUUAUAAACCAAGAAGAAGAGAGAGAGAGAGAGAGACCUGAAAGAUAGGACUCGUCAAUGGAUGGCAGCAAAGGAGAUGGUCAAGAAGAUCAAAGUCGAAUAGUAUCAAAGACCAUCCCAUCACGUCAACACUUGAGAUUAGUCUUUGCCUCUUUGGUCGGCGGUUGCGGCGUUAUCCAUUCCUAUCUAAGUAUAUAAGAGAUGUGGUGGUGUUGGUGGUGGUCUGGUGGAGGCUUAUACACGUGCUUUGCUACUUAUAUACACAUACAGAAAAGAAACGAUGUCGUGCAUUAAACCAUUUUUUUCUUACAUGCAAUGAUUUUUUUUUCCAAGUUUAAAUCUUUGACUAUGACUAUAUUUUAUCUUUUUUCCUUACAUGCAAUGAUUUUUUUCUAUGUUUAGAUCUUUGACUAUGACUAUGUCUUAUCUUCAUUUCCUUACAUGCAAUGAUUUUUUUUUCUAAGUUUAGAUCUUUGACUAUGACUAUAUCUUAUCUGAACAAAAUUAUAUACAAUUAAUUUUUAGAUUAGUUUCUCAUUUUGGAUUAAUUUCAAAAUACAAUUUUAUCAAUAACUAGGAUAUACCCCGUGGUAUACCACGGGUCUAUAACUUGAUAUAUUUGUUUGGUUGAUCAUUUUCGUAGUUGGUAUAUAUAGUCUAGUUUUAUAAGUGUGUCUUUUAUUUUAAUUUUAUAUAAUUUUUUGAAUUUAUAUUAUAAGUAGAUUCAUAUAUAUAUGUGGUCAACCCGCGAUACACCGCGAGACAAUUUUGUUGUAAAUAAAAAAUUAUAUUUUAACUUAACCCGUAAAAAAUUUUAAAUAUAGACAAUCCGUAAUAAAAAUAUAAUCAUAUUUAUGUAUACUCAAACCCGUUCAAUCAUAUUUACGUACAAUUUUAUUAUAUUUUUAGAGUUCAAAUAUUAAUAAUACUUUAAAAUUUUGUAGAGUUCAAUUUUAAUAUUUUAAAUAUUCUAUAAAACUUAAAUUAAUUUCAGCUUUUAAAAGUUUUAAUAUUAUAAUAUUUCUCUUAAAUAAGGAACCAUAUUAAACUGAAUAAAUUUUUUAAUUUGGAUACCUGAGAAAUCAAAGUUCAUGCUCAUUUAUAGUGGUGAACAUAUUAGUCGUAUUUACAAUGGUUUAAACUAUAAUCUAAAAUUUUAUACUUUAUGUAGACGUUGUACAUAUAUUUUUUCCUUUAUCGAUUGAGUUAUAUAUAUGCGUCCGUUUUCUAAAAUUUAAAUUGUAAAAUGUGUGGAAAAAAAUGUGUAUUUUUAUUAUAAAUUUAUUUUAUGUAAUAAUAUAAAUUAAAAACAAAUAAGAUUAUAUAAAUAUAUUGGAGAGAGAUUCGAUUUAUUAAAGAGAGAGUUUAGGAAAUUUUUUGAUGUAAUAAAUAUUUGUUUCCAUUUUUGCGAUUUGCUUGUGAGUUAAUUACAAAAUUUACUUUUAAGUUUUGUUAUUUAUUCAAAUAGCAAGUGUUUGAUUAUGUAAAUAAUACAAAAUAAAAGGUUAUAAUCCAAAUAAGAUUUUAAUACAAAAUGUACUUCAAAAAUGUUAAGAUAGAUCUUUUUUCCUGGAAAUACUCCUCUAAUUUUUUAGAUUAUUUUAUCUAAAUGUAUUUUUGUAAACUUAUUAAAAGAUAAAUAAACUACUUUUUGGAACCUUAAAAAUUUGGAUUGAAUUUUUGAGUAGUAGUUACUAUCUUUUCAAACAUUAGAAAUAAUUGUAUUUAGAAAAUGACAUAUAAAAUAAAUUUGGUAGAUAUUAUUAUAAGAAAAAAACACAGCAUGAUCCCAACUAUAGUGUGCACCGCGAACAUGGCUUUUAGAGCCAAUGUAGGCACAGUUCGGUAUUGCAGAACGAGCAUCUCUUGUUCAGUUUGACGCAGCACAUGAUUCACAAGCUAGCUGCCCGUUGUGACACUGAACCUGCCCGAAGAAUUUUAAGGCCUUUGGGCCUUUUAUUACUACUAAACCUUUGGGCCUUUUAUUAUUACAAAAACAAAUUCUGUAUUAUUUUUAAUAACUUUUUUUUGGGGCUUCAUUAUAUCAAAUUGAGAGAGAGUUAGUACAAAUUCCAUAUUGUAGUUCUCGACAUAUGUAGCUAGGCAUUGAGAGAGAGAAACAUAUCUUGUAUUAAACAUAUCUUGUAAUUUUGCUUUCCUACUCAGUCCUGGUUUUAUUACUAUCUGAUUUUUGUCGACCUUCAUUAUCAACAGUUUACAUUUGUUUUCUUGCAUUUGUGAUGACAUCAACAGUUUAUAAUCAAAUAGCCUAAACCAAUUGCAUGGUUACAAUAAAUUAGUAAAUAUAUUAUCUCAUAGACAGCGAUCAAACUUUGGCCUUAAUUUAUCGUUUAUUUCUUCUUAAUAUAUAACAUGCUUCACUCAAAUAAGUAAUUAUUAAUUUCUCUGUUCUCCCAGCUUUUUUUUUUGGUAGGGUGUUCUUUGAGCUUUUAUAAGUAAACUAUGCUGAGAAUAUUCAAAAGCUCUCACUCAAACGAUGGCUUUUCAUAGUUUUUAUUUAAAAAAAGCUUGGCCUUUUAUAUCUAAUUUUAGGUUAGAUAUAUAUAUUUUUUGAAAGAAAAAAAAAAGUAUCUGGUACGUGGUCGCAUUCCCCUCGCAGCCUAUUGAGUCGGGGUUGCACUAAACACAAGCAAAAAGAGUUAGCUAAGACAAAUCAAACUCAUUACAAGAUCUAUGUUUGACAUUAAAUUCACUAACCCUAGAUGGAAGGAAAAAACAAGGACCAAAUCUUUUCAAUGGUUCGAAGCAACAAGGGAAUUCAAGAAUAUUCACGUUUCAAAUUGUGAAAAGAAAUGAAACUAUUUCCUCAAUAUGUUAUUGGUUUGUGAUUUAAAUAGAGUUUUAGUGACUUUAAAGGUUAUGUAAAAAUAUAUUGUUAUUCAGUCAAGAUUUUGUUAAAUUAUUUUAAAGUUUGAUGUUAUUAAUUUGAGAUUUGUAAAAAAGUCAUUAAAAUCUUAAUAAAUUGUAAAAUCAAUAAAACUUUGGUGUGAUUUAAUUAAAACAAAAGAAUCUAAGAUACUGUUUCUUAAUACAAUUAUUAUGUAAUUAGAUUAUGGUUUUAUACAUUUUUCUUUAUAAAAUAAAGUCAUGAAAAGUAUCAUCAAGAUAUAAAGAUUUUAUGGGAGACUUUACGAAAUUAUUAAAAAUUUAAUCAACAAGACUAUAUAAAAGUCACUUCCAAUCCUCUAAAAAUCUUUUACUUAUUCACUUUAUAUGAUUUUAUCGAAGUCAUUAAAACUUUUAAUAAAUUAAAAUCCAAUGAAAUUAUAGUUUUAUAUGAUAAUACUUAUAACUAUCAUUAAUUAUACACAUGGGAAAGUGACAUAGUUUCUUCUAUUUAAAAGCUAGUGCUUCUCAAAGUUUGAGAACUGACUUUGCUAGAGAUUAGGAUAAAAAAAUUCAUACAUAUCAUCGGCCAUGAUCAUGGAAGCCAUAACUAUGUUUGGCCCAAAUUAUAAAACUCAAGUCUCUCUUCCCUUACGUAACACCUUCUUUCCGCAAAUUCAACAAUUCCACUUUCCGCUGACAUCAUUAUCUGGCAAGGCUCUGACCACUAUAAGGGCUUGUGGUGACCGGGAAAUUAGUUCACGCACGUUUAAGAAGCUGCCACCUUCUGAAUGGGGUCAUCACUUCCUCACUGUUCCCGUUGACUUGUUGGUGAGUCUAUUUACAUGUUCUUUAAUUGUAAUGCAAAACAAGAUCUUGAUGAUACACCAUCUUUUGUAGGAAAUGAAUGCGUUGGCGAGAGAGAUCGAUGAACUAAAGAUAAAAGUGAAAGAAAUGCUCAUCAAGCCUGCCCUAGGUAUCAAAGAGACUAAGAAGAGAAUCAUGUUUGUCUAUUUGCUAGUGAGCCUUGGUCUCGCCGGUCAUUUUGUGGAUGAGAUUAAUGAGAAUCUAAAGCAAGGUUUCGAAGCGAGAGAGGAAAUGAUGGCCGGUGAAGAUGAUUUGUACACAGUUUCCACCAUCUUUUGGAUUUUCAGGACAUACGGUUACGAUAUGUCCUCUGGUACGAGAAGGAGAUCUCUAGCUAAUGUUUUGUUUCCCUUUCAUAUUGACAAAAUGCUCCAUUUUUCAAAACAGAUGUGUUCAAGAGAUUUCAACGGGAAGAUGGCACGUUCAAGGAAUGUCUUGUCGCGGAUGCCAAAGGAAUGUUAAGCUUAUACGAAGCCGCGCAUUUGGAGACACAAACAGAGAAGAUCUUGGAUGAAGCAUUGAGAUUCACACCUGGCCAGUUGGAGUUGUUAGCUGAAGGAGGGAAUCUCCCACCUCAUAUCUCGAGGCUUAUAAAAAAUUCUCUUUUCAUUCCUCAGCGUUAUAAUAACGAAAUGAUAUUCGCAAAGGGAUACAUUUCAUUUUACGAGCAAGAAGAAGAUCAUGACAAGAUGUUACUCCGGUUUUCGAAGCUAAACUUCAGAUUCUUACAGCUGCAUUGGAUUCAAGAGCUGGAAACUCUUACCAAGUAUUAUAUUUAAAUUUUUAUAUUUAUCACACACAAAAAAGAAGUAGAUAUAUGUUUAUUAUAUAGUUAUGAGAUUGAAAGCUCUUAUAAAAUAGAUACUAACAUGUCUUUUGUUAUGUAGGUGGUCGAAGGAGCAAGACCUAGUAGCUAAGCUCCCACCUUACUUCAGAGAUAGAAUGGUAGAAUGUUAUUUUUUCGCAUUUGGGGUCCAGCCACAGUUUUCACGUGAUAGAGUUUUAGCGGCUAAGUUUUUCAUGCUCUACACCAUUGUUGAUGAUACAUGCGAUAGAUUUGCCUUGUUCCCUGAAACCAAAAUUCUUGUCGAGUGCAUGGAGAGGUAUACUUACAUUACAUUAUCUAUAUGAAAUUACAUGCUACAUUCUCUUUAGUGAUAGAUGCUUGAUAUAAAAGUACUCGAUCCAGAUUGGUUCCAGAUUCGGUGGACAGUCUACCAGAUUAUAUGAAACCCAUCUUCAGGUUUACACUCAAUGUUUUCGAAGAGUCUAAAAGCAUGACUAGGUCUGAAGAAGAAGAAUCCUAUUUUGUCCAAGGUGCACUAGAAGAGGUAAAUUAAAAUGAAAAUCAUAUAUGGUCAUGGUCAAAUCAUAAAAAGUUUUUAUACUAAUUAAUGUCUGAAGUAAGAUAAAAUUAAUCAUAUAUGUCUAUUGACAUUUUGCUUGUACUUCUAUGUAAGGAGUUUAAGAUUCUCAUGAGAUCUUAUAUUAAAUUUGGCGAAUGGGAAGGGACAAACACGGUGCCUACGUUUGACGAGUCCAUGGAGGUUAAAGACACUCAAAUCGUCAUUUUCGCAGCUUUACUACUAAGUUUUCUUGGUCUGGGACAUAAAGAUAUGGAACUGGCUUAUAACUGGUUAAAAUCCAGGCCAAAACUCGUUCGAGCUAUAGCUAGAAAUACCCGUCUGUUGAAUGACAUGACCGGCUUUGAGGUACACCUUCAUUAUGUUCUUCCUCUUUUGCGCUAGCUAGAUGGAUACUAUUUUAUCCUACACUGACUAGUAAAAUUUUGUGUUGUGAACAGGAUGACAUGAAUAGAGGGGAUGAAGCCAAUGUCGUCAACUACUAUAUGAAGCAACACAGUGUUAGCAAAGAGGAAACAUUUAGGGAGUUAAAUAAAAUGGUUAGAGAUACUAAGAGGGUGGUAAAUGAAGAGUUCUUGAAGAUUGCGAAAACAAUGCCAAUUCAUAUCCUCCAUCGAGCCCUUAAUUGCGGAAAUAUGUCGAUUAUAACCUAUAGGGAUGGUGAUGGAUUCACCAAUCCAAUUGGAAGAUUCAAGGACCAUAUGACCUCCUUGUUCGUAGAUUUGAUGCCCCUUUGAAUAUCCAAUCAUAUUAGUUAUGCAAUCAGAUAUUAUCCAUUUGCAAUUUGAUCAAAAUUCUUGCAAGAAUAAAUCCAAUAAAUGUUAUUUUGGCUUCAAUUUAUUUGUUAGUAUAUUUCGCAUGACUUUUACUAUGGUGGGUGCAUUUUGUCAUUUUGGUGUCUCUCUUAAGACAUAUUUAGCUAAGAUAAUCACUUUUUCACUUAUAUUUGUAUUCCCUAAAUGACUUGUAGUAGUAGGACACAAAUUUUCCUUCGAACGAAUGUAAAACUAUAUUCAAUCAAAUUUUUUUUUUACAACCAAAUUUAGUAUUGUUUGAUAUUUAUCUUCAACAAACAUUUUUUAACCUCGUUUUUGAUAUAUAUCUAUUAGGCACCGCAUAUACCUUGAGAUUAUAAUAUAUUUUAAAUCUUGUGAAAGACUGAAAGUAUAAUAUUUAAAUAAAAUGAAAUCAUUCAUGUAAGUAUAUAUAAAACAAUAGUGAAUACGCUAUUAAAUAAGGUUAUAUCAUUAGGUUUUCUAAUUUGAGUAUCGUGUGCCCUAAUACUCGAAAUCAAGAGUCCCAUCCGUUGUCGACUUGAUCAGCUCUCAUGAAAAGUAAACAGAGGGUUACUCAUUCAAAUAUCUCAAUCUUUUUAUUGUAUUUUUAACAUGGAAGAGUUUCAUUAUAAAUAAAUAUCUACCACCAAUUUGUGCAUAGUUUGCAAACAUUACAAUAACUUUUUGUUCUUAUUUGUUUUUUUUUUGGUUCAACAAUUAUUUCAAAACUUUUAAGGACAUUCUCAACAAAGGAAUGAAUGGAUCAUUUAGCAAAAGAAUCCGACUAUACAUGGUAGUUUUCAUCAACAAAUUAGAACAAAAAAAAAUAAACAAUGAAAAUCUAAGAGAGCAAUUCUAUUUCUUUUUUAUAAUAAAUAUCACAGAAGAUUCUCUUAAAUUAUUUUAUUGUAAGUUUCAAUUUUUACUUAUAAAAGCUAAAAUAUAGAUUUAAAGUGGAUCGACACACACUUGCAAUCUAUAACUUUACAAAUUUUAACUUCUACAAUCAUACCACAGUUACAGUCUCUUGCUAUAACGCUUGUGGCCUAAAGCUUGAAUAGAUGAGAGAUGACUUCUCACUUGUUUGUUAAUCCAUGGGGUUAGAGAAGUAUAAGUAGAAUCGACGGUAAGAGAAAGAAUCAAACAUUAAGUUAAACAAUAAGGCCAUAUAAGAGUUUUAGACUUUAGAGAUAGACUUCAUGGGUGAAAGAAGCAACAACAACAACAAAAAAAAACAAACAUCAGAAGUACAUUACUAGGCCACUGAAUAUGAACUCAAUGAACUACUACAAUAGAUAUGAUAUAAUAGUAUUACUCCUCAUCUUCUUCUCCGUCGUCGUCUUCCUCCUCAUCUUCAUAUCUUAAUUCGCGAAUGCGAAUUUCCAUCUUGACUACCAAGCUUUCAUCCAGGAAAGGGUAAGCAAUAAACAUGGAUUUCACCCCAGGAGUUUUGAAACUCACCCUUUGAAUCCUAUUCAUCUCGUCAAUUGUAUCCGUAAACUCUACAUCCCCCCUCCAGCAAAUGAGAUCAUAGCCAAAUUUCCAACCUCUUGGAGCAAAAGGAGCAGCGAGUAAGUUCGCGGUCACAUACAACCCGUCUGGCCCCUUAAAAGCCUGAAGAAUAACCAAUGGACCAUAAUUAUGUUCUUGAAGGAUUAACAUCGUCUCCUUCAUGUGUACCGGUACGUCAACGUCAACGUACUGGCCAGUCCUGAAACUUGAUGAGUAAUUAGCCUUGUGGGAAACAGUGAAAUGAUCGUAGAGAUUCUUAUCGAAACCAGCGUAGUCGCAAAAUGGUACAGGACAAUGGCACACAAAACCAUCACACUCCUUCUCAUGGUCGACUAACUCUUUGCCACGAGAGAGUUUCUCUGUGCAACCAUGCUUGGCGUUUCGGCAUGGGAAAAAGACUGUUUCCACAAGUCUCUCCAUUAUUCUAGACCGAGUGUUACCAAUGAACGAGAAGCAAGAAGGGCAUCUUUCAUUCAUAGUACGGCAAGAAGAGCAUAUUAUAUGCCCUUCCACACACUGAAAUGUAAAAACACAGGGUUAUGUAUGUAUAGAGAAGAGAAACUAAGCAAAUGGAGAAACCAAAACAGUCAUCCAUCAUGUUUCCUUGACCGUAACUUCUUGUCCUAUACGAAUCACUGUCCUAAAAUGAAACUUCUUGUCCUAUUCUUAUAAAAAUCACUAUUACACUAAUCAUUGCUAUCCUAAAGCCUCAUAUCAACAAAAAUCAUCGCAGUGCAAUUAUAAACAAGGAAGAAGAGAGACCUGAUAGAUAGGACUCGCCAGUGGGUGGCGGCAAAUGGGACAGUCCAGAAGAUCAAGCUCGAGAAGUGCCCCAGUCCGUGCAAUCACGUCAUCACCACUUGCGGUUCUUCCAGAGUUCUCCAUGGUUCCAAGUCUUUGUCUGUGCGGCUGCUCUCGUUGCUGUAUAAGAGAUUAUUGUGGUGGUGGAGGCUGUUACAUGUGCUUCACUACUUAUAUAUACGUAGAGAAGAUAGGGUGCAGUGGUAAACCCUUCUUUCCUUAAAACGCAUGCAACGUGUUUUUUUUUAGAUUUUAGAGAUUCAGUGGAGGAUAUAUCUUGUAACGCUAUCACUAGCUAGAUCUUAUCUUAACCUCAUGAUUUUAAGAUAUAUUUCCCUUUUUACAACAAGGAAAAAAACACAAGAGUUGAAUAUUUACACUUUUGUUUCACAAAUAAUCAUGUUUUUCAAUUUAAUGAAAACUUAAUUUUGUAUUUCCUGAAUUUUUUAUACCAAGUAAAUUCAACAAAAUAUCAAUCUAAACCAGAUUUAGUUAUCAUUUGGAAUUGAUGACUUUAAUACACUUCAAUUGAAAUUUUCGUAACAAUAGGUUAAAUACCAGAUUUAUUAGUAUUUGGAUUUUUUUUUUUAAAUAGUUUUCCGUAGUCCAUCCUUACAUGUACACCAAUAUCGUCGAACGACCAAGAAAAAAAUUUAUAUAUCUCUGGUUCAUCAGUCGCAACUCCAAAAAAUAGGUUGGUAAUAGCCCUGGGCAUUCAGAUACUCGGGUCGAGUUCGAGUAAGAACCGCUCGGGUCGGAGAGUUUAGGAUUCGAUGUGGGAAAUAUAAAAAUUCGGUUCAGUUUCGUUUGGAUCCAUUUGGGUUCGAGACGACAAAAAAAAUAAAAAAAAUAAGGGGGCUAAGAGACCACAAAAACAAAAAAAUAAGGGGGCUAAGAAAAGUUAAUUCAAUUAGUCUCAAGAAGGCUAAGAAACCAGGAAACUAGUUGACCGAAAAAGAAACUAAGGGCAUGUGCAUUGGCCGGUCCCUGCCCAAUCCCCCACCCAAAAAGAAAAAAAAUCAAAAAAAAAAAUUGAAGAGGAAAAUCCUCUGCCUUAGUAUUUCACUAUUCGCGGGCUCUACUGACAUGUAGCGGCCGCGACUGGUUACCUUUUUUUAAAAAAAAUCUAUAAAAGAAAAAAAAACAUUUUUCUGGGACAAAAAUGCACUCCCACCGAUGCCAUGGCCUAAGAGACUAUAUAAUAUGGAAGAGUUGCGGGGACAAGAACAACUGUGUUGACACUCAAAUUAGCUUACAAAGCCUUAACUGAUCUCUUAUAGAAGUAAAGAAACUCAUCAAGACUCCACAAUUCAACUUCAAGACCAUUGUGUGCCCUAAUACUCGAAAUCAAGAGUCUCAUGUAACCGUUGUCGACUUGAUCCGCAUUCAAGGGAACAGCUACGUUUUAUUUGGAAAUUUUCAACUUUAAAUUGCUCAUGAGGUCUACACUGUGUAAUGGUGUCUAGGAUUCCAGUUAUUAUUAUUAUUUAUUUGUUUCGGGGAAUUAAAAUAAAAAUAUAUACCACCAAUUUGUGCAUAGUUUGCAAAAAAAAAGAAAAAAUACAUUUACUUUUAAUUUGUUCUUAUUUGAAAAUAUUUUUUGUUUUUUGUUCAACAACUAUUUCAAAACCUUAAAGGACAAUUCUCAACAAAGGAUUGAACAUGGGUGAAAGAAGCAAUAACAACAACAACAACAAAAAAACAUCAGAAAUACAUAGCACUAGCCAACUGAAUAUGAACUCAACGACCUAUUACAACAGAUAUAGCAUAAUAUUAUUACUCCUCUGCGUCUUCCUACUCAUCAUCUUCUUCUUCGUCAUCUUCUUCUUCCUCAUAUCCUACUUCGCGAAUGCGAAGUUCCAUUUUCACAACCAAGCGUUCAUCCAGGGCACUGUAAGGAAUAAACAUGUAGUUCCGCACAGGUUCUUCGAAACUCACCCUUUGAAUCCUAGUCAGCUCGUCGGAUUCAAAAGUAAUCUGUUCAGAACCCCUCCGGUAGAUGAGAUCAAAGCCAAAUUUCAAACUACCAGGAGUAGAAGGACAUGUGAGUAAGUUGACGGUCACACACAAACCGUCUUUCCUAUUAAAGGACUGAAGAAGAACCAAUGGAUCAUUAUAAUAUUCCUGAAGGAUUAAAACUAUCUUGUUGAUGAAUCUAUUAUAUGAUGGUAUUACAUGUACGUCAACGUCAACGUACUGGCCGGUCUUGAACUUUGAUGAGUAUCUAUCCUUGUGCCAAACAGUGAAAUGAUUGAAGAGAUUCUUAUCGAAACUAACGUAGUCGCAAAAUGGUACUGGACAAUAGCACAUAUACUCAUCACACUCCUUCUCAUGGUCGUCUAAAUCUUUGCCAUAAGAGAGUUUCUGUCUGCAGCCAUUCUCGGAGUUUUUGCAUGGGAAAAAGAGUGCUCCCACGAGUCUCUCUGUUAUUCUAGACCGAUUGUUACCAAUUGGCAACGUGCAAGAAGGACAUUUAUCCCUCGUGAGCUUAGUACGGCAAGUCGAGCAUAUUAUAUGCCCGUUCGUACACUGAAAUGUAAAAAGACAGAGUUAGGUAACAUAAUUAAAGUUGACCAAAACUUCUUCUCCUAUACGAAUCACUGGUCCUAAAAUGAAACUUCUUGUCCUAUUCCUAUACGAAUCACUAUUACACUAAUCAUUGCUAUCCUAAAGCCUCAUAUCAACAAAAAUCAUCUUUGUCGGAAUCAUAACUCAUAAGUAGUGCAAUAAUAAGCCAGGAAGGAGAGAGACCUGAUAGAUAGGACUGGCCAAAGGGUGGAAGCAAAUGGGACAGUCGAGAAGAUCAAGAUCAGAUAGCAUCCCAGUCCGUGCAAUCACGUCAUCACCACGUGCGGUUCUUCGAGGGUUCACCAUGGUUCCAAGUCUUUGUCUGUGCGGCUGCUCUCGUUGAUGUAUAAGAGAUUAUUGUGGUGGCGGAGGCUGUUACAUGUGCUUCUCUACUUAUAUAUACGUAGAGAAGAUAGGGUUCAGUGGUAAACCCUUCUUUCCUUAAAACGCAUGCAACGUAGAAUUUAGAGAUUCAGUGGAGGAGAAAAUUCGUAACGCUGUCACUAGCUAGAUCUUAUCUUAACCUCAUCUAUUUAUGAUAUCUUUCCCUUUUUACAACAAGGAAAAAAACACAAGAAUUGAAUAUUUACACUUUUGUUUCACAAAUAGUCAUGUUAUUAAUUUUGUAAUUCCUGAUUUUGUCUAUACAAAGUAAAUUCAACAAAAUAUCAUUCUAAACUAGAUUUAUUUAUCAUUUGGAAUUGAUGAGUUGAAUACUCUUUAUUAAAAUUUUCGUAACAAUAAGUUGAAUAUAUACCAGAUUUAUUAGUAUUUCAGUUAAAGUUUUUGAAAAUAUUUUUCCCAAGUCCAUCCUUAGACACCAAUAUAUAUCGUCGAAUCACCAAGAUUGAAAAUUUAUUUAUUUUAUCAUUGUUUUAUAUAUCUCUCGUUCAUCAGUCCCAACAAUUGAUUGGUAUUCAAAAAUAUGGAUUUGGUGAACUAUAUAUUUUUGAUGCUCUUGUUUUGGCUAACCACUUAGCAUAAGAUUCGAAUAUGACUUGUUUGAGCCUAUAACUCAAGCCUAUUGUAAUAAAAGUUUCGUACUCUCAUUCCAUACAUCAUCAACAUUGCCUUUAAGAUUUCUUCUUGGAGGAUGAGACGUCCUUAGAAAACGUCUGAAUUAUACCCAAAUAAACAUGCCCCUUUGAAUAUCCAAUCGUAUUCAUAUAAGUUGCUAUUUGACCAAAAUUCUUGCAAGAAUAAAUCCAACAUAAGUUAUUAGUGGUUUUAGUUUAUGUGUUAGUGUAUUUGCUAUUUUGGGCCUUUUGGUUUGUUCUUUAAUUUAAUUUUAUUAUCUACAGUAACCUACUUUCUUGAGUUUUUUAAACAUUUUUAGUUUUUCUUUCUAAUACAACUGAUGUACUAGUUGUACAAACGUUUUGUUUUGAUAUAGUUUAACAUUAAAUUCAAAAAAAAAAAAGAUAACCUACUCUCUUAAGACCAAAAUAACCAGCUAACCACUUAAACUUUUAUCCCCUAAAUGACUUGUAGUUAUUAGUAUGAAAAAAUUUGUUUUUGAAUGCAUAUAAAAUUACAUUCAGUCCAAUAUUUUUAUUACUAGCACUCUAGCAGUUUCUUUUAUAAAAUUAAAUUCAAAUUUCAAAGGCACGAAAAAUGAUGUCGUUUGCCAACGUAUUCGUGUAAUUAUUGAAUGAAGUAUAUUCAGUUUAACUAAGUAUACUUAAACUCAGAGUAAAUGAGUUUUUUUUUAAUAACUAAGUAUACUUAAACUCAGAGUAAAUGAGUACACUUAUUAGGUUUCUAAUAGGUUUAAAGCAUGGCACCAAAAUGAUUUAGUAAAUUUCGCGUUUCAAGCUAAGGGAACUGAUCACGUAGAUCUACGAAAUAAUUAGUUCCUCCCUAAGUGAAAAUUAUUAGACCACCACUACUUGAUUGGAAUCAAAUGUGUUGAAAACAGCUUUAUGAAAAUAUUUCGAAUCCGUCCAUACACACACUAACUUCGAGAACAAAAAAAAGAAAAAUCAGCCUACAUAUUGCGAUUGCGUACACAAACAAUUGUUGGGUUCUCUGAACCAAACCAACUUUCAAUUAGUAUGAUAUUGUUCGCUUUAGGCCUAUAAUUCAAGCCCACACAGAUUUGUUGGGGUCUUUCCCAAAAUGUCUUAUACUAAUUAGAGUUGGACUUGACUUAUGAUGACAAAAAAAAAUAAAAAGUUGGACUUGACUUAUAUAUUAUAAACUUUUCUUUCUAAGAACUCAAGCCCGCACGAUUUUUUUAUUGGGCUCAUUCCCAAAAAGCCUCAUACUAAUUAGAAUUAGACUAGACAUAUAUAUUAGAAACUUCUCUUUCUAAUCUUCCGAUGUGGGAUAUUGGUUUGUAUUUCAAUAACAAUCUAUCUUUUUUUUUUUUUUUUGUCGGCACAAUAACAAUCUAUCUUAAGAUCAAGUUUCAUCAAAGGCUCACAAUCACAUUUAGGCUACUCAAUCCCCUGAGUGCCUUAACUACAACCAAAUCACUCUCUUUCUCUUCCUCCAAAUUAAAACGACAAUCUUCUGCUUACCUAGGCCCAUGUUAAAGAUUAAAAGAUGGUCAAACACAAAUGUGGGAUGAGGAUAAAAUCAUCAUCCCAAGAAUGACUCAAGACCAUGGAAACAUAACUGCACCAGGAAACCAGAAAAAGAAACUAAGUGACUAUAUCAUAUGGAAGAGUUGCUGGGACAAAAACAUUGUGUUGAAACUUAUCAAGACCCUACAAUUUAACUUCAAAACCGUCGUGUGCCCUAAUACUCGAAAUCAAGAGUCUCAUAUGUUGUCGACUUGAUCCGCUUUUAAGAUCCUCCAAAUAUCUCGGUCCUAGCUACGUUUUGUUUGGAAAUUUCAACCUUAACUUUCUCAUGAGGUUUACUUUGUUUGUAUUUAUAAAUUGUAGUAUACUCUAUGCCAGAGGCACUGUGUAAUCGUGUCUAGGAUUCCAAAUUAUUUAUUUUAUCUUUUUGCAGGAGGAGUUUGCAAAAAAAUACAAUAAAUUUUUGUUCUUAUUGAAGAUACUUUUUUAUUAUUAUUUUUGGUUCAACAACUUUUUCAAAACCUUUAAAGACAUUCUCAACAAAGGAAUGAAUGGAUAAUUUAGCAAAAAACCCGACCAUACAUGGUAGUUUCCAUCAAAAAAUUAGAAAUUAAAAAUUAAAUAAUGAAAAUCUAAGAGAGCAAUUCUAUUUUUAAAAAAUAAAUAUCACAAAAGAUUUUUUUUUUUUUUGAUUAAAAGUUUCAAUUUUUACUUAUAAAAGCUAAAAUAUAGAUCUAAAGUGGGUCGACACACUUGCAAUCUAUUUAUAUAUACAAUUUUAAGUAUAUUUUGUACUAAAAUUAUUUUAUGCCAAAAACCAAUGUCUUAAACACUAUUAAUCUCAAAUCAUUAAACUUAGUUCCGUAAAUAUGUAUUUCGGGUCGGUUCAAAAUUAAAAUUGACAAUCCGAAGUCACAUAUCGAAUCCUCAUUUAUUAUUAUCUUAACCGAAAUGAAAAAUAAUAUUCUAAUAUAUUGAAUAUAUGGUAAGAUUACGGUUCUUACCAAAAACUAUAUGAACCAAUAAAAUUUUGACUACGAGAUUUUUCCAUAUCUCUGUAAAAAAGGACUUGUGGUAUAUCACGGGAUAAAUCUUAAAUACUUUACAAAAUUUUAACUUCAAGAAUCGUACCACAGUUACCUAAAUCUUGAAAAGAUGAGAGAUAACUCUUCACAUGUUUGUUAAUCACUUGAAUAGAUGAGAGAUGACUCCUCACUCAUCUCUCUUCAAAGUGUACGUGGAUUGAGGACUUAGCGGGCAAGGAAGCUCAGUGUUCGAACGUGAGUAGAGUCUGAGGCAUAAGACACACACUAUCUAUGUAUUGCUUAAUCAAUGAUAAGAACAAAGAGAAGUAAAAGUAGAAUCGUUGGUAAGAAAAAGAAUCAAACAUUAAGUUAAACAAUAAGGGCCAUAUAAGAGUUUUAGACUUCAUGGGUGAAAGAAGCAACAACAACAAAAAAAAAAAAAACAUCAGAAAUACUACAACAGAUAUGAUAUAAUAUUAACUCAACGACCUACUACAACAGAUAUGAUAUAAUAUAUUAUUACUCCUCAUCUUCUUCUUCGUUAUCUUCUUCCUCCUCAUCUUAAUUCGCGAAAUGCGAAUUUCCAUCUUCACUACCAAGCUUUCAUCCAGGAAAGGGUAAGGAAUAAACAUGGAUUUCACCCCAGGAGUUUCAAAACUUAACCUUUGAAUCCUAUUCAUCUCGUUAAUUGUAUCCGUAAACUCUACAUUUCCCCUCCAGCAAGUGAGAUCAUAGCCAAAUUUCCAACCUCUCGAAGCACAAGGAGCAGCGAGUAAGUUCGCGGUCACAUACAACCCGUCUGGCCCCUUAAAAGCCUGAAGAAUAACCAAUGGACCAUGAUUAUAUUCCUGAAGGAUUAACAUCGUCUCUUUCAUGUUUACCGGUACGUCAACGUCAACGUACUGGCCAGUCCUGAAACCUGAACAGUAAUUAGCCUUGUGGCAAACAGUGAAAUGAUAAUAGAGAUUCUUAUCGAAACCAGCGUAGUCGCAAAAUGGUACAGGACAAUAGCACACAAAACCAUCACACUCCUUCUCAUGGUCGACUAACUCUUUGCCGUGAAAGAGUUUCUCCGUGCAGCCAUGCUUGGCGUUUCGGCAUGGGAAAAAGACUGCUUCCACAAGUCUCUCCAUUAUUCUAGACCGAGUGUUACCAAUGAACGAGAAGCAAGAAGGGCAUCUUUCCUUCAGCUUAGUACGGCAAGGAGAGCAUAUUAUAUGCCCCUUCACACACUGAGAUGUAAAAACACAGAGUUAGGUAUGUAACAUUAUAAAAGUGUAUAGAGAAGAGAAACUAAGCAAAUGGAGAAAUCAAAACAGUCAUCCAUCAUGUUUCCUUGACCAUAACUUCUUGUCCUAUACGAAUCACUGUCCAAAAAUGAAACUUCUUGUCCUAUUCCAAUACAAAUCACUAUUACACUAUAGUCAUUGCUAUCCUAAAGCCUCAUAUCAACAAAAAUCAUCGCAGUGCAAUAAGAAACCAGGAAGAAGAGAGACCUGAAAGAUAGGACUCGCUAGUGGGUCGCGGCAAAUGGGACAGUCCAGAAGAUCAAGCUCGAGAAGUUUCCCAGUCCGUGCAAUCACCACUUGCGGUUCAUGAACCUUGAUGAGUAACUAUCGUUGUGCCAAACCGUGAAAUGAUUGUCGAGAUCCUCGUACAUGCCCGUGUAGUUGCAGUUUGGUGCAGGACAAUAGCACAUAGUAGAACCGCAAUUUUCUUGAUGGACUAAAUCUUUGCCAUAGGAGGACUUCUUGGUGCAGCCAUGCUUGGCGUUUGGGCAUGUGAGAAUGACUGCUUCCACAAGUUUCUCCAGUAUUCGACAUCGAUAAAUACCAACGGGCAAAGUGCACGAAGUGCAUUUAUUCCUCAUCAGCUUAAUACAACAAGAAGAGCAAGCUAUAUAUCCAUUUUCACACUGAGAUGUAAAACAAAGAGUUAGUUAAUAUUAUCAAAGUUGUAUAGAGAAGAGAAACUAAGCCAAUGUAGACAAGAUUAAAUUUUAACAAAAUCAUCCUUCUCAGACUAGUAAGUAGUGAAAUUAUUAACUUUUACAACCAAAUCAAUUAUAAACCAAGAAGUAGAGAGAGGCCUGAAAGAUAGGACUCAUUAGUGGGUGGCAGCAAAGGGGAUGGUCAAGAAGAUCAAAGUCGAAUAGUAUCAAAGACCAUCCCAUCACGUCAAAACUUGAGAUUAGUCUUUGCCUCUUUGGUCGGCGGUUGCGGCGUUAUCCAUUCCUAUCUGAGUAUAUAAGAGAUGUGGUGGUGGAGGCUUUUACUUGUGCUUUGCUACUUAUAUACACGUACAGAAAGAAACGGUGCCGUGCCUAAACCAUUCUUUUCUUACAUGCAAGAUUUUUUCUAAGUUUAAAUCUUUGACUAUGACUAUAUCUUAUCUUCUUUCCUUACAUGGAAUGAUUUUUUUCUAAGUUUAGAUCUUUGACUAUGACUAUAUCUUAUUUCAACAAAGUAAUAUACAAUUAAUUUUUAGAUUAGUUUCUCAUUUUGGAUAAUUUCAAAAUACAAUUUUAUCAAAAAUCUUUUUUCCUGGAAAUACUCCUUCUCUAAAAUUUUUAAUUAAAAAUGCCACUGAAAAUCUAAUAUUUAUCUAAAUGUAUGUUUAAAACUUAUAAAAAAUAAAUAAAAUACUUUUUUGAAACCUUAUAAAUUUGGAUUGAAUUUUUGAGUAGUAUAAGUUACUAUCUUUUCAAACAUUAGAAAUAAUUGUAUUUAGAAAAUGACAUAUAAAAUAAAUUUGGUAGAUAUUAUUAUAAGAAAAAAACACAGCAUGAUCCCAACAGUUUGAAUAUGUUUAUAUUCAGAGGACUCUUUGCUUCUUCUGAUACGUGAAUAUAUUCACAUUUUCGAGUCACUAUAAGUCCGUGUAAGAGCUAAUGUUGGCACAGUUCGAUAUUGCAGAACGAGCAUCUCUUGUUCAGUUUGACGCAGCACAGGAUUCACAAUCUAGCUGCCCGUUAUGACCUGUCCGGUUCGAAGAAUUUUAAGGCCUUUGGCCUUUUAUUAUUACAAAAACAAUUUCUGUAUUAUUUUUAAUAAAAACAUUUUGGGGCUUCAAUAUAUCAAAUUGAGUGAGAGUUAGUACAAAUUCCGUAUUGUAGUUUACGACAUAUUUAACGUGAGAGAAACAUAUCUUGUAUUAAGCUGUUCGGCUCUAUUUUUUCUUAUCCGAUCAUUCAAUAAAAGCCUUCCUACUCAGUACUGGUUUUAUUACUAUAUGAUUUUUGACUACCUUUACAAUCAACAGUUUACAUUUGUUUUCUUGCAUUUGUAAUGACAUCAACAAUUUAUAAUCAAAUAGCCUAAACCAAUUGUUUGGUUACAAUAAAAUAGUAAAAUAUAUUAUUUCAUAGAUGCGAUCAAACUUUGGGAUUAAUUUAUCCUUUAUUUCUUAUUAAUAACAUAUUUAACUCGAAUAUAUAAGUAAUUGUUAAUUUCUCUGUUCUCUCAGCUUUUAUAAGUAAACUAUGUUGAGAAUAUUCAAAAGUUCUCACUCAAAGGAUGGCUUUUUCAUAGUUUUAUAAAAACGAAUCUUGGCCUUUUAUAUCUAAUUUUUGGUUAUAUAUAUAUAUAUUUUUCAAAGAAAAAAAAAGUCUCUGGUACGUGGUCGCACUCCCCUCGCAGCCUAUUGAGUCGGGGUUGCACUAAACACAAGCAAAAAGAGUUAGCUAAGCCAAAUUAAAUUCAUUACAAGACCUAUGUUUGACCUUUUAAAUUCACUAACCCUAGAUGGAAGCAAAAAAACAAGGACCAAAUCUUUUCAAUGGUUCGAAACAACAAGGGAAAGCAAGAAUAUUCGAGUUCGGAAGAUCGUGGUCGCCGUCAGAAAUAAGGGGACGCCCUUGCCUCUUUGAGGUGUUUGUUGAGAGAGUAAGACUAGAUAUAAAAAGUUUAUUGUCCACUGUAAUAGUUUUUCAAAUUGUGAAAAGAAAUGAUGGUCGCACUCAAUAUGGUAUUUAAAAGGUGAAAGGUGUUAUUGAUUUGUGAUUUAAAUAGAGUUUUAGUGACUUUAAAGAUUAUAAAAUAUAAAUUGUUAUUCAGUCAAGAUUUUGUUAAAUUCUGUUAAAUUUUCAUGUUAUUUGAUUACAAGGUUUUUUAACCCGAUAACUUAACCGAAAUAAAGUAUAUGCGGUAUCGAUCACAAGGAGCAAGACAUAGGAAAAUCCUCAAAAUCAUGAAUUUCAAGGGUUGAAACGCAUGUACCUUCUAUUUCACUCAGUGGGACCCAAUAUAUUAUCUUUUCAAGAUCAUGGGCUUCUUUAUCUGAUAGCAUGUGAGUUGUCUUCCUUCAUAUGCUGCCCGCAACGAUAUGAGGUUCAACCAGAUCAUAGUCGAUAAGUCACUCUUGUCAAUAUUGAAUUCUCCAUGUAACGUUCAUCUAACUUCACUUUUUGUUCCGGAAAAUACUCUCAUCAAAUGGUGGCUCUAUGUAUGGCUCAUCCUCUUCUUCUUGUGGCCAAUCAUUGGAUUCUAUGACCAGAAACUCCCCUAUACUUGGUGCCAUUUUUUUUUGUGAAAGAUAAAAUGAAAAAGAAAGUGAUAGUUAACAACUGUAAAUAAAAAUGCUCUAAACUAUCUAAGAGCAGCUCCAACCCACAUCUAUUUUUAUCUCUAAGACCAUCUCCAAUGGUUUUUGCUAUUUUUUAAAUUUUUGAAAGGUUUUGGAUGACUUUUAAAAGAUUUACAAGGGUUUUUAACGGAUUUUUAAGGGAUUUAAAAAUAUUUACAAGGUUUUUAAAAGUUUUUUUAAGGAAUUGCGGCAAAAUUUGGCUGAAAAUUUCGGGAGGGAAAAAUUUUGUCGGAAAUUUUUUGGUGAGAAAUUUUUUUGGCGGGAAAAUUUUUGUCGGUAAAGUUUUGGCGGGAAAAUUUGGCGGAAAAUUUUUCGGAAGGAAUAUUCUUUUUGUUGGAAGGAAUAUUUUUUUUGUUGGAAGUAAUAUUCUUUUUGUUGGAAGGAAUAUUCUUUUUGUUGGAAUAUGAAAAUGUUUCAAUCCUUUUGUACAUUGAAAAUGUUAUUUUUGAAAAUGCAAACCUAGAGAGGGUACUUGUAGAAAAUGGUAUCAUAAAAAGGUUAAUUGUGCAAAUCCCCUUAUAUUUUAGAGGUUUUAAUAUAAAUAUAUAUUUUAAAAUUUGAGAUUACCGUUUGCAAAAGUAACUUAUAUUAAAUCUUAUACAUAUAUAUAAUAAUAGAUUUUAUUUUUAUUGAAGGAAAAAAAGAUUUUAUUUUUUCAUUGAUUCCAUAAUAAUUCUUUUAACAAAAAAAAUAGUUAAUACUCUGGUAAAUUACUUCCAGAUCUACCAAUGUUGUUAAAGCAUUGUUUAAAUGAUCGAAACGAAGUAGAUAGAGGAGGAGCUUGUUGGUUUUGUUAAUAGUUAAGAAUCUAGUAUCUUAUUGUUUUUUAUAUAAUGCGUUGUACUUUUUAAUAAAAAAUUAUAUAAUAUGAUUUUUUUUUUAAUAAAUGUUUAAUUUCAAUAAAAGUAAUUAUUUUAUUAAAAAUUUAUAAAAGUUAAAGUAAAUGGGUUCAUUUGCAACUUUUAUAAAUAGUUGGUGUUAAUAUUAAAAUUUAAAAAGAAUCUAUUUGGAAUAUUAUAUUAUAGAGGAAAAAAUAAAUGAAUAGAUUAGAGUAAAAGUCAUAUCUAUUAUAGAGGAAAAAAUAGAUGAAUACAUUAGAGGUGGGUUGGAGCUGAUAGAUAGAGAUAAAUGAAGGGUUCUUGAAGAUGGCGAAAACAAUGCCCAUUAAUAUGCUCCAGCGAGCCAUUAAUUGCGGAAGUAUGGGGACUAUAACCUAUAAGGAUGGUGAUGGAUACACCAACCCCAUUGGAAGAUUAAUUAAAGGACCAUAUCACCUCUUUGUUCGUAGAUUUGAUGCCCCUUUGAAUAUCCAAUCAUAUUCGUAUGAGAUCAUAUCCAAUCAUAUUCGUAUGAGAUAAUAUCCAUUUGCAAUUUGAUUGAAAAUCUUGCAAGAAUAAAUCCAACAAAAGUUAUUAGUGGCUUCAAUUUAUGUGUUAGUGUAUUUUUCAUGACUUUUACUAUGAUGCGUGCAUUUUUCAUUUUGGACCUUUUGAUUUGUUCCUUAAUUAAUUUAUUUUUCUAUUAUCUACGAUGAGUACCUACUUUCUUAAGACAUAUAUAGUUUUUUUUUUUAGAUGAAAAUUAAAGGAAGCUUAAGCCUCUCUAAUUACUAAAAAUAAAAAAUAAAGCAACUAAAACCAAAUAUUUUUUUGACGUGUCCAUCCUACCUCAUCCUCCUACGUAAUUGAAUCAACUUCCUCCGGACAAGCAGCAAGAGAGCGAAAAUCUAACAGUAAAUUAAACGUAUAGUUUUCUAACCAAUCUGCAAGACUAACUUCUCAAUACACAUGAUCAGUAUGGAUUAUACAGUUUUUCGAAAUAAAACCACAUAUAGUUAAGAUAAUUACUUAAAUUUUUUUUCCUUAAAUGACUUGUAGUAUUAGGACACAGUUUUUUUUUUUCAAUGAAUGUAAAAUUAUAUUCAAUUCAAAAAACAUUAUUUAAAAUCAAGUGUUAUUUUGUUUGAAAGUUUUUAUAAUUUGUUGUCAGCAAUUUUUUUUUUUUCAAACUACUUUUAGAGAAAUAUAUAUAUUAUUUUAAAUCUCGUGAAAGACUAAAAGUAUAAUAUUUGAAAAGAAAAUGAAAUCAUUCAAUCUGAGAAAACAUUGUUUACAUAAAGAACUAACACGAAAACUUGUACGUAGAGACUUGAAAUGCAAUUUAAGUCAUUAAACGGUAACACGAAGACUUCCACGUCUAGGGUAUAUCGAGAGAGAGACACUUGUGUGUGUGACGUUGCUCCACCUACAUGACUAAAAGAUAUGUGGUUGUUUUGUUGUGUGAUCAAAUACUACACUCGUCGGUUAGUCCAUAGUGGGCCUUAACAAUAGUCAAUCAGCUUAAGCCCAUUACAGUAGCAUUAUUGCUUGUGCUUGUAUUUUUUUUAGUCCCGUUCGUUCUUUUGAAAUGAUUUCGAGUAUUCGAGAAGAUCAACAAAAACAACAAUUUCUCCUACUCUUAUCUAUUCUCUUCUAUAUAAGUCUUCUCUGUAGAGUCACGUUGCUGAUACAUUCUCCUUUAUUAGGUCACAGGCUUAACAAAAUCCCCUUCUUAUUUCUUUCAAGGUACCCAAUUCUUACUUACAUUUUUCAUAUUAACUUUGUUCUGACAUUGAGCAAAACAAUGUCUGACAUUGGUAGGUAGUAAAGUUUUUUUUAGCUUUCUCUCUUCUCAAAUCGAGCUUCGUUUUUAAAAUGUUGAUUUAAGCUAUAGUUGGUUAAGAAUAAGCUAACGUGAAAGAUGCAACAUAAAGGUUCACUUAGGUUGUAAUCAUGUCGAUGGUUGUGUUGAGAAUCAAGAGAAUGAUUAAUUUUACACGUACUUCUUAGCAUAAACAAUUCUUAGAUUUAUUUUUAAGAAUUUAUUUGUUGAAAACUCUUUUUAAGAAUUUCUAGUGGAUUUGCUAUGUGCUGUCACUGUUGAGACGUAAUGUUGUGUCUUGAUUGGUCUCUAUUCUUGAUUGGUCUUCUGUUGCAUACUCUGUUUCAUCCCACAACGAACAUGCUUCAUGUUUUCUUGGUGGUUAAUUUCGUUGUUGAGAGAACAUAACAACUUUGAGAACAUAACUUCGUUGUUAAUUUCAUAAUUUCGUUGUUAAUUUCGCGUAAAUGUAUGUAUAUUAAUGUGGGAUACGAUUAAUAUAAGUACGUAAUAUUAUAUAUUUUAUUUCUAAGAUUGCAUUGGAUAUAUAUAUAUAUAUAUAGAUAAGACCAUCGAGAUUUUCUAUUAUUAUAAUGUAUACUUGCAUCAUGUCUUUCUACUUCUCUGAGUUCUCUAACCUUCGUUCAUUUCUCCUUUGUUUAACAAAUAAAAAUAGACCAGAUAUACGGAUACCAAAUAAUAUUAAACAAAUCAAAGUAAAAACAAAAUACUCACCAAAAAAAAAAAAUCUAAAAACAAAAUAAAACUGUAUAUUUGAUUAACGUGUCACGUCCCCAUCCUUACAAAUGCUGAGACAAAGAAUUUUGUAUUUAUGGAUGAUGAUAAUUUUUAUUGUUAACUUUAAAUCUUAACCGUUCUAUUAUAAAUUCAAACCGAUAUAUAAUUUUGUUCGUUAUAAAAUUUAAAUUUUAAUCAUUUUUUAUAAGCCCAAACUAAUAUAUAAUUUCGUUUUAACUAUUGAAUAUAAACAUCUUCAUUUACAAAUCCAAACCAAAAUUAUUUAAUUGUAAAAUAUAAAGCCUAAUCCUCAUUUAUAAACCCAAACCAAAGUUAUUUAAUUGUAAAUAUAAACCCUAAUCCUCAUUUAUAAACCCAAACCAAAGUUAUUUAAUUGUAAAUAUAAACCCUAAUCCUCUUUUAUAAACGUAUACAUAUAUAUAAUUUCAUUUAAUUAUAAAAUCUAAAUUUUAAUACUCAUAAAUCUAAAUCGAUAUACAACCUUGUUUCAUUGUAAAAUUAGAUAUUUAAUCUUUUUAAUUAAAAGAAUAGAUAUUUUGAUUUCUUUCGUUUCAAGUUGGAGGAAAAACAAUUGGUAAUAUUUAUAACUUAAGUAGUAAACAAUAUUUUUUUGGGUAGGGCCUUUGUACGUUGGAUCGGGACUGCAUGGAAGCCAUAACUGUGUUUAGCCCAAUACGUAACAGCUUGUUUUCGGAAAUUAAACUCUCCCGCUUUCGACCGAGGUCAUUAUCUGGCAAACAUGUGAAAACUGUUGGUUUACAGAAGAAGACCACUAUAAGGGCUUAUCGUGACGGUGAAAGUUCACGCACGUUUAAGAAGCUGCCACCUUCUGAAUGGGGUCAUCACUUCCUCACUGUUCCCAUUGACUUGUCGGUGAGUCUAUGACUUGUUUGUCUUUUUAGUUGUAAUGCAAAACAAGAUCUUGAUGAUACACCAUCUUUUGUAGGAAAUGAAUGUGUUGGCGAGAGAGAUCGAUGAACUAAAGAAAAAAGUGAAAGGAAUGCUCAUCAUGCCUGCCCAAGGCAUCAAAGAGACUAAGAAGAGAAUCAUGUUUGUCUAUUUGCUAGUGAGCCUUGGUCUUGCCUGUCAUUUUGUGGAUGAGAUUAACGAGAAUCUAAAGCAAGGUUUCGAAGCGAGAGAGGAAUUGAUAGCCGGUGAAGAUGAUUUGUAUACAGUUUCCACCAUCUUUUGGAUUUUCAGGACAUACGGUUACGAUAUGUCCUCUGGUACGAGAAGGAGAUCUCUAGCUAAUGUUUUGUUUCCCUUUCAUAUUAACAUAAUGUUCCAUAUGUGUCAAAACAGAUGUGUUCAAGAGAUUUCAACGGGAAGAUGGUACCUUCAAGGAAUGUAUUGUAGGGGAUGCCAAAGGAAUGUUAAGCUUAUACGAAGCCGCGCAUUGGGAGACACAGAUAGAGAAGAUCUUGGAUGAAGCAUUGAGAUUCACACCUGGCCAGUUGGAGUUGUUAGCUGAAGGAGGGAAUCUCCCACCUCAUAUCUCGAGGCUUAUAAAAAAUUCUCUUUACCUUCCUCAGCGUCAUAAUAACGAAAUGAUAUUCGCAAAGGGAUACAUUUCAUUUUACGAGCAAGAAGAAGAUCAUGACAAGAUGUUAUUGCGGUUUUCGAAGCUAAACUUCAGAUUCUUACAGCUGCAUUGGCUUCAAGAGCUGAAAUCUCUUACCAAGUAUUAUGUUAAUAUUGUUACAUGCAUUUGUCAAGAAAAAAAAAGUAUAUAUGUUUAUAGUUAUGAGAUUGAAAUAAUGUUAUGGUAUAUAUACUUACAGCUACAAUGAGGUCUUUUGUUGUGUUUGUGUAGGUGGUAUAAGGAGCGAGACCUAGUGGCUAAGCUUCCACCUUACUUCAGAGACAGAAUGGUGGAAUGUUAUUUUUUUUGCAUUGGGAGUCCAGCCACAGUAUUCACGUGAGAGACUUAUAGUGGCUAAGUUUUUCAUGCUCUACACCCUUGUUGAUGACACAUGCGAUAGAUUUGCUUCUUUUCCUGAAGCCAAAAUUCUUGCUGAGUGCAUGGAGAGGUAUACUUAUGUUACAUUUUCUAUAUGAAAUUACAUUAUCUAGAGAUAAAAGCUUGAUAUAAAAGUACUUGAUCCAGAUUGGUUCCAGAUUCGGUUGACAGUCUACCAGAUUAUAUGAAACCAAUCUUCAGAUUUACACUCAAUGUUUUCGAAGAGUCUAAAAGCAUGAGUAGUUCUGAAGAAGAAGAAUCCUACAUUGUCCAAGGUGCACUAGAAGAGGUAAACUAAAAUUAAAAUCAUAAAUGGUCAUGGUCAAAUCAUAAAAAGUUUUUAUACUAAUGUCUGAAGUAAGAUCAAAUUAAUCAUAUAUGUCUAUAUUAACAUUUUUGUUUGUACUUCUAUGUAGGAGUUUAAGAUUCUCAUGAGAUCUUAUGUUAAAUAUGACGAAUUGGAAUGGAAAAACAUGGUGCCUACAUUUGACGAGUCCAUGGAGGUUAAAGACACUCAAGUCGCCAUUUUCCCAACUUUACUAUUAAGUUUUCUUGGUCUGGGACAUACAGAUAUGGAACUGGCUUAUAACUGGUUAAAAUCCAGGCCAAAACUCGUUGCAGCUAUGGCUAGACAUGCCCGUCUGUUGAAUGACAUGGUCGGCUAUGAGGUAAACCUUCAUUUCGUUCUUCUUCUCCAUAUGGAUACUAUUUUAUCGUACACAAGUAGUAAUAUUUUGUGGUGUGAACAGGAUGACAUGAGUAGAGGGGUUGAUAUGAAUGUCGUCAACUACUAUAUGAAGCAACACAAUGUUAGCAAAGAGGAAACAUAUAGGGAGUUUAAUAAAAUGGUUAGAGAUACUAAUAAGGUGGUAAAUGAAGAGUUUUUGAAGUUGGCGAAAACAAUGCCAAUUCAUAUCCUCCACCGAGCCAUUAAUUGCGGAAUUAUGACGACUAUCACCUAUAGUGAUGGUGAUGGAUACGCCAAUCCCAUUGGAAAAUUCAAAGAACAUAUCACCUCUUUGUUCGUAGAUUUGAUGCCCCUUUGAAUAUCAAAAGAUCAUAUUCAUAUGGCGUGUUAUGCGAUGAGAUAUUAUCCAUUUGCAAUUAGAUCAAAAUUGUUGCAAGAAUAAAUCCAACAAAACUUAUUGGUGGCUUCAAUUUAUGUGUUAGUGUAUUUUGCAUAACUUUAACUAUAUGGUUAGUGCAUUUUCUCAAUUUGGACCUUUUUGUGUGUUCCUUAAUUUAUUUUUCUAUUAAUCUACUUUCUUAAGACCAAAAUAGCUAGUUAAUAUAACCACUUAAACUUUAUUCCCUAAAUGACUUGUAGUUAAGAGCACCUCCAUUAAUGAGUUUCUUAGAUAGUUUCUAAGUAUCUAUAUUAUUAAAGGAGUAGUCAAAAGGCAUCAUGUUCGCUCUCAGAAAAAAAUUACUUAAUUACCCUUAAUGAAAACCCCGAGUUAUAACUUUUUUUUUUAAUCUUUAUUAAUUAAAACAAAACAAUUAAAAUCGAGUAUAUUGAAGACAAAAUGGAAAAUUUGCUCAGAACGGAUUAUUGUUUUACAUAUAAUGAAAAAUUACCCCUGCUUUAUAAUUUGUUGUUAGCCCUUAUUUAAUCAAAACCAAACAAUAAAAAUUGGAAAUGUCUUAACUAAAAUCGGAAAUUUCAUAACUAAAGCCGAAAAGUUUUUAAAAAUGUCGUAUAUAAUGUUUCAAUUUAGGAUUUAGAGGAAAUGGACUUACGUAAAAAAACCCGCUAAAAAACACCUCAUAAAUACUAGGAUUUCUAUGCUCUCUCCAUAACUAAAAAAUAUAAAUCUUUAGUUUUCUAUCAUGUUUGCGGAAUUAUAUUUUGAUACUAAUCUUUUUUCUUCCUCUUAUUCAUCAUCGUCUAAAUUUCUGUUUUCAUUUUCAUGUUCGUGUAGUGGUUGUUUAGAAAGCAAGAUCAAAGAAUACUACACAUUUGUAUAUGGUUACAUCACCUUUUGAAUUAUGUAUAUUAUCUCAUAAUUCAUUUAUUAUUUUAAACUAUAUUUAUUCCGAAUUUUUUUUAUUUAAUUUUUAUAUUGGUUAUUUUUUUUGUAGAGGAUGUUAAAGAAUAUGUUACAUUGCUCUCUACAAAUUCAAGAUCUAAAUACUUAAGUUGGAUGGAAAGCAAUUUAAUAGAUGUUGAAGCAAGCAAGUAUAAAUAUGAAGAAUUUUCAAUGGUAUUUGUUUGGUGUGGUCAAGAAAAUCAAUCGAAGCGAAGGUCCAAAAAAAGAAAGAAUCAACCUUAAGAAUCAACCCUUAGGUGUCAACCCUUAAGGCGGCGGAGCUCGGGUUACUUCGCUAGUUAAAAGUAAUUAGAAAAUGAAAACAACAAAAAAAACUUUAAGAAUCAAUCCUUAGGUGUCAGCAUUUCAUUGGUUAAUAACUAGAAGACGAGGAAAAAACAAAUCUUAUCUUGUUUAUUUUUGUUUUUGCUCACCUCAUGGGAUUCUUAACCAUUGGAGGUAAAAAUUUAAAAACUCUUACAUAAGUUCUUAGGUUUAAAAAUUAUAGAAAAUCCAAAUUCAUAAAUCAGUAGUCUUUGUUUCAUUGCACUCUUCCAAAUUCAGAAAAGAGAUUAUAACAAAGUAUUACUAUAAAUUAUAGAAAAUCCAAAAAUAAAUCGUAUAUAAAUUUUGAGACGAGUCAUUGUUUCAUUGCACAAUCUAAUGGUCUGAUGUUACAGUUAACACAAUCUAACAACACAGUCACAAACGUAACCAAUCACAAACUUUCAGCACAAAGUUCUCUAAACGUGAAGAGGAAAAGGGGAGAGGGAGAGAGUUAUAAUCCAACAUGAACACACAAAAAAAUCACUUUUUCGAAAUGAGAGAGAUUAAAGACAAAACCCAUGAAACCAAAUGAAUCAUAAAACACAGAACAAAUCCCAAAAACGUUUCUGACCAAAUCAAUUGAAAUUUCUUUCAAACAAUCAAUAGAGAAACAAAAGACGGGGUUUUUAAUGUAAUUGAGGGAUUAGAGAUAGAGACCUCUGAAUCUACACAACUUUCUUCUUCUGAAUCUUUCGUUGGAGCACUUGGUCGAAGAAGAAUCAAUCAGAAGUUUGCUGAAAUCUUUCGUCGUAGCACUUGGUUUUUAAUGUAAUCAUUGUUUGCUAAAUGAACCCUAGAGACUAAACGUAAUCAUUUAACAUUGAAAAACAUUAAAAAAUCAUAAAAGAAUAAAACAAUUCGGCUACCCAUUUAAUUAUAUGUUAGACGCGUUUAUAAAAGGGCUUGAACGGGUGCACCAAUUAAUUUUUUGUGUGUUUUAGAUGGGUUCGGGUGCUACGUAAAUGCAUUGCACCCGUUACGCCCGCGGGCCCAGAGCCCAAUUUAACAUCACUACCAAUCACCAUUCACCAUGCUCCCUCCACAAUAUCCAAAUAUUGCUUAAUGAAUUAUAAGAACAAAAAGAAGUAUAAGUAGAAUCAAUGGUAAGAGAAAAGAAACAAACACUAAGUAAAACAAAAAGGCCAAAAGAGUUUUAGAUUUUCGAGAUAGAGUUUAUGGGUGAAAGAAGCAACAACAACAAAAAAAAAAAAUACAUCACUAGGACACUGAAUAUGAACUCAACGACCUACUACAACAUAUAUGAUAUAAUAUUAUUACUCCUCUUCGUCUUCAUCUAAAAUCAAAAGAAAAACAAAAUUUUACAAAAUUUAACUUCUAGAGUCACAGUUAAAUAUGUAUGAGGGAUGACUCGUUCAUUGCUAGAAUGAAUAUAGUACAAAGUAAUAUUUUAAUGAUUUUGACUACGACAUUGCUUCUUCGUGGCUUGAGUUUUAAACCUUAGUUCAUUAGUUAUUUUAUACAAUGUCAAAUGAUCUAAAAGCAAGCCUAUUACUACAGGGGAUAGAACUUUCUCACGUUGGAAAGGAUCUGUUGUGGAUUCAGUAGUGGGAGUUUUCCUCACCGAGAAUGUUGCAGAUCAUUUAUCAAGGUAAUUCCAAGUGAUUUGUAAUAAACACAGGAAAUGUGCAACAUGAAUAGUUUUCAAAAUUAUUAAGUUUUUCAUCUCCUAAAGAGUGAGGAAGUUCAGUAAAUCAUGAAACAGUAAUGAAAUUGGAUCCGAGAUAUGCAGUUUCAAAUCCAAGAAUUCGCAAUCCAUCUUGUGUCAUCAUAGAGGAGAUUGAUGAUGAUGAGGACGGCACCGAUGUUGUUUGUUGUCAGGAAUCCUCUAAAUGGAUCCGGCAGCAUCAUUGUCACUAGUUUUAGAGGAUUCCUGAAUACAAACAGCAUUAGUGUCAUCCUCAUCAUCAUCAAUCUCCUGUACAAUCACAAAAGAUAGAUUGCGAAUUCUUGGAUUUGAAACUGCAUAUUUCAAAUUUAAUUUCAUAACUAUUUCAUGAGUUAAUGAACUUCCCACUCUUCAGGAGAUGAUCUCUUGUUGAAGUUCCAGUUGAUAGGGAACUCAACAAGAAGAUCCAAAUAUGCAGAACUACAAAGGUGAAAAACUUAAUAAUUUUGAAAAAAAUCAUUCAUGUUGCACAUAUCCUCUGUUUAUUACAAAUUGCUUGAAUGCAUUACCUUGAUGAAUGAUUUGCAACAUUCAGGGUGAGUAAAACUUUCACUACUAGAUCCACAACAUAUCCGUUCCAACCUGAGAAAGUUCUAUCCCUUGCAGUAAUACGCUUGUUUUUAGACCAUUUUACAUUGUAUAAAAUAACUAAUGAACUAAGGUUUAAAACUCAAGCCACGAAGCAAUACCGAAGUCAAAAUAAAUAAAAUAGUACCUUGCAUUAUACGUACCACAGUUGGUGUCUCUUGCUAUAAUGCUUGUUUCAUAAAGCUUGAAUAUAUGAGAGAUGACUCCUUACUUGUAUAUCUGGUUAGAGUAGUUGAUGAGUUUGCAUGGUCACCAUACCUCCUAUGUCGAUCAUAGCGGGCAAAGAAGCUCCGUGUUCGACCAUGUGUAGAGUCCGAGGCAUAGAGAACGAUCAAUGGCCAGCGUUGGUAGCCGACGCAUAAUUCUAUAUUGUAUACAAUGUAAACACUCAAAGUUAGUUAGUAUUAUCAAAGUUGUAAUGAGAAGAGAAACUAAGCAAAUGCUGUCAAGAUAUAUAUUUGAUCUAAUUUAGAAAAGUUUUGGUUUAUUCAUUAACAUAAGAGAAGUAUCUAUACAUAAUUAGAUUUCUUUAUAUGAUAGAAUCGUAUCAUAUUGUAACACAUGUCUCCCUGAGCAAAUGAGACAGCGUGAUACUUGCCUUACUAGAUCAUUCAUCUAUCUUACUUCCUCAUACUUUUUGAAAAAAACUUCCUUUAUUAGAAGCCGUAAAAAUAACUUGUCUUAACCAUUCCAUGAAAAUAGCCAAAAUAGUUUUAUAAAUAAAAUUAAAUCCGUUUUCAAAAUAAGAAAAUAACGGAAAUAUAAAUAAUACCCAAGUUUCUCGAAAAACACCAGUGACGAGACAGAGUUGCGCAACUACUCAAGAUUCCCACUUACAACUGAGGAAAAAGGAAAGAAGGGGUGAGUAACGAAUUACUCAGUGAAAGGAUCCUUUCCGCCCACUAGGAAAAAUGAAGAAAGAAACUACCUUUAGACCACACUAGUCAAUCACAUAGAAAUGGACAUAACAAUCAACUACUCCGCAAAAUUGUAUCGAGCUUAAACACACAAAAAUCCUUGCCAUAAGCAAGAUAUCCACAUCAAUAUAUGGUUCGAUCAUCUCUCAUGACCUUUGAACCUAUCUAGUUCCACUGGGCCAGUCAGCCUUUUAUUGAGUUACAAAGAACUCGUCAAUUCAAUGCAAACCAUUUCCACGUUCAUCAUCCUUAAAGAUGGUAAUCUCAUUUAACAUAUCAUACAUCUUAAACUAGUCUUUCCUAAGACAUUAUCUCAACCACUUUAAAACAUUCAUCACUCAUCAAAUUAUCAAUUCCUAAUUAUCAAGACAACACUAGUUCGCAAGCAAAUCUAAUCCUAUGCAAAAGAAUCAUGAUGUCUAACAUAGGAAUUAUAAUCGAACUUCCGCAGAUCACACCCUCACCUGAAUCUGGAAUGGACUGAGAACUGGAAGAGAACUGCUUAAAAUGGCUUGAAACAAUCUGAAACUUGCAGCAGAAGAAAACAGUACAAAGACAGAUUAGGGUUUCUGGGUUUUGACUGAAAAAGAGGAUUCUUGCCCUAACAAGGAAUCCACGAGGUAACUAAGGUCUACCAUUUCUGCUGACUUUGAAGGCUCCAUCGGCUUCCCAGACACUUCGUUUAUCAGUAACCACCGUCUACUUGACCUCAACUGAUCAGAGAUAACCGGAAUAUCCUCUCCAAAAGUCCAACCUGAAUCUGGAAUAUGAUACAUGUUAUUUCUGGGUUUAGAAACUGUGACUUUUAGCCAACUUGUAACUCGAAUUUCGGAUGGAGUUUACCUUGUAAUGAAGAACCGUCAAUUGCUACUUCUUCGUCGCAGCGAGAUCUAUCCACCGACACCGAAAGCGUGUUCUGGUUCCUUCAGAUCCGACAGAAAAAGAAUCACCAAAAAAGUCACUUGAAACUGUUCCUUAUUCCUCUUCUCCACUAAUAAAUCCAAUUGUUGCAGCACAAACCACGAAAUCAGCAACCAAAUAGAGACAUAAUCAAUAAAAUAAACCAUAUUCAUGAUAGAUUUGUCUUACCUAAUUGAAACGGGUGUUGGAUGGUGAAGACAUGACCGUUCAAUUCUUCUCCGCCGUGAUCCAACGAGAAAGCAAAGCAACUACAACUCUUGAUCACCAAACAAUAGUGAUGGAGG